ensembl:lncRNA
ACUUUGGCUCUUUAUUUCUUUAUUAAUAUCAGUACAUUUCAUUGCAGUGGAUUACUCGACUCCACUAAAUAUGGAAUCCCCACCACUUGAAUGUUGAUAUCAGAAAUGAUUAGAAUCCUUACUAAAAUGGAAUCUAAAAUUUCAUGUUGUCUUUAUACAUUACUAUUUCAGCAGGCCAUCUUUUUCAUGCUCUAACUCAUGUAUUUAAAAAAAACAAAAAGCACACAAAUGUCUUCCAGAUGUUUUCAUUCGAGUAAUUAGUAAAAUAGGAUGAUGACUUACACAAGUGCAAAGCAUUAAAAAUAAUAAUAAUUGUAUACUCUUUUUAUUCUAACAGGAAAAUUGAAUUAUCGAAAUACUUCCUAAUAUUCAUUAUUAAUAUGAAUAUUAAUAAUUCUAAUUAAAUUCAGUGGUGAUGCACUGGAACAGGUUGCCCAAGGAGGCUGUGGGUGCCCCAUCCCUGGAGGCAUUCAAGGCCAGGCUGGAUGUGGCUCUGGGCAGCCUGGUCUGCUGGUUGGCGACCCUGCACAUAGCAGGGGGGUUGAAACUCGAUGAUCAUUGUGGUCCUUUUCAACCCAGGCCAUUCUAUGAUUCUAUGAACUGCCAGCACUGAAUAUAACUUAGUUCUGUGUGUUGUACAGGACUAAUACUAUCUCUCCACGAUUAGAUGUGACCUGAAUUUCUUCUCUUAGCUCUCAGCACACUACUGUCAGUCUUCAGGUAGUUAGGAUGACUGGGUAGACACAGUGUAGGGAACCCUGCAUUAGGAAUAAAACAGAAUAUGUACACAUUUUUAUCUGAUAGUGCUGUUAAAGGCAUUGGAAAAACUUGCAUUCGGUAGCAUUGUUUGGCGCAGCCUUUAUCAGAGGAUCUAGCUGAAACUGAAGUAUUAAUAAAUGGCUUUUUAAAACAAACUGAUAAAUUGCUAGCAGGUGUUCAUUUCAUUAAGGCCAUUCAGCAUUUUCAGUGGAUUUAUGAAUACUUAAUUUUGCUUAGGAUUGCCUUAGUACCAUUGGAAAGAAAGCAUGACAAAUACAGUUUAAGGAAUGAGGGAAAGCAAACCACAGCACACUUGUGUGAGGGUUCUUUCAAGAACCAGCAGAGCCUGCUAAUUGACAAAACGCAUAAUAAAAGAAUAGAUGUACUGGAUAUAGAAUGGCAAUAAGUCACUCAACUUUCUGAAAGGAAAUGACAUACUUCGCACAUCUGUUACAUGCCUUUGGAAGAAUCUCCAAGUAUGCAUGGCAGGAUGAUCUCGCUAAUUCAAUCUGCCUGAAUUUUCAAAAGGCUUUCAGCUGCGUUUCACGCUGUGUCCAUAAAGGAUUUGUGUGAAAUAGGAAAUAAGCAGUAAAAAUCCAUAACAAAAAGAUUAAAAAAGAAGUGUAUUGAAAACUAUUACUGUGCUGCUCAAUAUAUUGAUAAAUGCUUUGGAAAUAGACUUGAGAAUCUGGGGACAGAACUUACAGAUACAACGAAACCAUUCACUGGUAAAAACAAAAGCUGCGAAGAACUGCAGGAGUAUAUAAUGAGAUUGAAUUGAUGAGGCAAUAAAAUGGCACGUGAAAUAUAACAUUGAUAAGCAUGAAAUCUGGUACAAUUGGUAAACAAUAAUUUUAAAAGUCUAAUUUUCUAUAUACCAUGAUAGAUUUGAUAUACAUAGUGCCUAUACAUAUUGCCAUUUAGGAGGUGUUUCCAGGCUCUAUGGAAACAGUUCCUCAGCAGAAGUCAGAAAACAAAGAGAAUGUUGAAAGUUACAUGGAAAGUAACAGAUGAUCAGGCAUAAAGCAUUGUAAUGUAAUGAUGUGAAUUCCUGGUGCAUGCUCAUUUUGAAUACCGCAGACAUUUGUGGCUCUUUCAGAGCCUUCUCUUAGAGAGAAGGAGAAGAGUCUCUUAAAGACCCUUGACUGUAUGCACCUACUGUGCUUGGUAUCAUUAGAAUUUCAUUUAAGGCAUUACAUGAACAUGCCUUGAGCCUUCUUCCCUACAGCUACUGCUGUGAACUGGUUUUGUUUCUGAACUGUGAGGACGUGCAGUCCACCAGCAUUCAGAGGUGGGGUGGAAUACAAAGACAGCCAAAAAGAUGUGAUGUCCACAACGCAGGAGGAAAUGUUAGCUUGAAAGGAUGAGAGUGCAAAUAUCCUGAAGUUUUGGGAUUUAAGGCAUUUUUUGAAUAGAACGCGCAGUUGCAAAAUUGGUUCCUUGGCCUUACUGAAAAAUUGGCUGAUGAUAUGUUCCUCCUGUCAUGAACUCUCAUAUUGAGGCUUCCUAAUCACUAUUUUUAAUGAAGAGUUCUGGCAAAGCUGAUUGGAGUUCUUUUCUCAGGAAAGCUGAUUGGAACAGGCUGCCCAGGGAGGUGUGGAGUCCUGGAGAUGUACAAGAAAUGUGUAGAUAUGGUACUGAGGGGCACGGUUCAUGGGCAUGGUGGAGGUGAGCUGACAGUUGGACUAAAUGAUCUUAGUGGUCUUUUCCAACCUUAAUGAUUCUAUGAUAUCAUCAUCGGAGGGGAAAGUUAUUCAGCACUGCAUAAAUCUCACAGUAGAAACAAGCCAUUAAUUAAGAAGGACACCUGGAAGUCAGGAGGAGGAAGGAGGAGGGAUUCUAUCUGCUGUGUUCUACACCAGCACUGUAAUAAGCCAUGUAAGGCUUGCAAUAUCUUUCUUGAUGCCCAGACCAAUUUCAGAGCUUUUAAGGAAUAGAAACUCUGGGGAAUUUAAGAGUAGGAGAUUAUACUGUACCUGAGGGUUGCUGUGAAGUGCCUCCAGGCUGUUGCCUUGACAGGUCUUUGUGAUGGAUGAUGCUACAAGACAGAACUAGGGGAAAGAAAAUUUGGAUCGCCCAUAAGACAGAUAACGAGCUGGAGGAAUUAAAAAUCUUUGGGAUAACUUUUAAAAUGCCAUCUCUGAAUUAGUUUAAAAUGGAUGGCCUACAUUCUUGAGGAGACGCCUGGCCCAGCAGACAGCUUUUGAUUUUCACUCUGCCCAAUGCCAUUGUUGCUAAUUUUCUUCUUUCUCAAGGACAACUGAGUCAGGAAGAAACACAGAUCACAGACAAUAUUUGUUAAACACCUCUUAUUAAGUAAGCCGCUGUUUAUAGUUGUUGUGAUUUAUAGCAGAUCACCAUUUCACACUGCCUUCACCUACACCUUCCCAGCAUUCACAACACAGCUAUGGGGCAGGAGCACCAUUUAGGACUCCCAUCCCAGCCUUUUCAGGUGCCAAGGCUCAAACCAAUGCACCAGAGGCUCUGGAAUGGUGAUCAGAAAGUCCCAUUGGGCUCUUUUGUUUCAUGCAGUGCCUAUAUAACCCUGUAGUUUUUGUGUACACGCAGCAGUAACCAUCUUCCUGAAUGUCAGGAAAAACUUCUCAGGAAGAGUGGUUGUGCGCUGGAACAGGCUGUCCAGGAAUGUGGUGAGACCACUGUCCCUGGAGGUGUUCAAGAGCCACGUGGAUGUGGCACUGAGAGACAUGGGUUAGUGGGCAUGGUGGGGAUGGGUUGACAGCUGGAGUUGAUGACCUUAGUAGUCUUUUCUUACCUUAAUGAUUCUAUGGCUCUUAAUGGUCUGAGCCAUACCUCUGCAGUUGAUGACAAAUACAGAUGCUGUGCUGCUUCAGAGGCUCUCUGAUCUGCCAAACCCAGUUUUAGUGAUGCAACUGCCUUCAUCCUUGCAUGCAACUCCCAAGCAGUGCAUGGGGAAGAGGAUGGGUUGUAAGUCAGGAGAACCUGGCAGCACUGGAAUGGCUUAUUUUUAAAAAACUCUUUUUUUUUUUUUUUUUUUUAACCAAACAUUGCGAAGAAAAUUGCAGCUUAUCUGAAAAGACAGAUUUGCUGGCAGUAUUAGAGAAGCCACCUCCAAAGCAGAACCAGCCACCAGGCUCUGACAGGGACAGUGCCAGCUUUAAAACCUCUGCAGUCCUGUGGAGCAGUCAUGUAAGUUUGGGGCAUCACACCUGCUUCUCCCUACGUCCCUCCUGCUCUGCAUCAAACCUGAGGGCCCUUCAGUCUCUCUGAGUACCAUACUCAUCCUCCAAAUGAGGAAGCAAUCAUGCUGCUGUUGUAAAAACCAUAAUGGUCUGCAGACACAACCAUGGCAACAUAUGCAAGGAAAAAUAAUAUCCUUCAGUAGCUCAGUUGUGGCUGUUGAAAAUGGUAGGCAAGUUUUGUGUGCAAAAAUCCGUACAUAACUUAUUUUUACAACUAUCUAACUCGGCAUAUAAACUACAUCUAUCACCUUCUCCUGCAAAUCUUGACUUGCUCAAGAAACAGAAGUCAUGAAAGAAUUUUCAGAUUAUAUGUAUUGUAUCUCCAAAACAUGCACGCUGUGUAUAUAGAAUCAUAGAAUCACAGAAUCAUUAAGCUUGUAAAAGACCUCUAAAUUUCAUUCAUUCCAAACACCAGCCCAUCCCCACCAUGCCCACUGACCACAUCCCUCAAUGCCACAUCUACACAGUUCUUCAACACCUCCAGGGACAGUGGGUUCACCACCUCUCCGGGCAGCCUGCGCCAAUGCAUUACUACUCUUCCUGAGAAUAACCUUUUCCUACUAACCAACCUGAAAUACAGAUUGAAUAUAUCAGGAGAGGUGUUUGUAGGAGAUACAGUACAUAUAAUCUGACAUUCUUAUUUUUUAUUUGUAUUAUUAUGUUUUAAAUUGCCAUAGCCAGGGUCACAGGCAUGUUGGGAGACAAAAGUGCUAACAUAUUUCUACAAAGAAACUGCCUAAGCCACCCAAUAGCAGCAGUGGUCCCCUGCUGUGUUUGCACUAUAUGUGUAUAUAUAUAUCUAUAUAUAUUAAAAAAGAGUCUUUGCCCAAGAGGCUAUUGCCAAAGAAAUAGCUUGUGUAAAAUGAAAGCAAUAUUACGUUCAUUAAGAGAAGGGAGCCAGUCUGAAACUUCCACGCUCCCCAAACCAGGUCCACCAGAUCCUUCAGCUCAGGUGACCCAAGAAGUGCUACUGCACCCAACCCACUGAGUUAAUUCCAGUGCAUAUUUUUUUUAUAUAUAGAUUUUAUAGCAUCCUCACUUCUCACUGCUCUGCUUGUGUGAAAUUUCAUCUGGGAUAAGAAGGAACUAAUAUCCUCUUGACCUAAAAUCUUUAUCAGCAAAGAAACAUUUGCAGCUUGAUCUAAAAUAUCUCUAAACCCAUUAAUUAUUUCAAAAGGGAAAAAAAAAAAAAGUGCUUGGCAUUAUAAAAUAGAUGAGAUGAAAGGCUGUGUCUUGCCAAGAGAGCUUGACAUAAGCAUAUUACAGAUAACGGAAACACUGGGAAAAUUAAGAGAUAGGAAACUCUGAGCGCCUUCUAAAAAGUUCUAUUAUGAGCAUACUUGUUAGCACAUGGAAGGAUUUAUUUUCUACUGUAGUGCGGUUAGAGGUGAAGCCAAGUAAACAACACUGAAGUAGAAAACAAUAGCCUUUAAUGAAAGUAUGCAUCUGUGAGACAGGCUGGAACCACAGCUUUCUUCUUAGACAAAGCUUUCCACAAGCCUAUUCCAAUUAAAUGUGAUUAACAAUGUGGGUAUCUGAAGAGCUGGGCAGAUAUUUGCCCUGGGACAGCAGUUUUAAGCCAGAGGUGCAGAUCAGGCUCCAGUCAAGAGUGGAUUUGGAGAUAUUUCGAUAUGCAGUGGGACAAGGGCCCCAGUCUCCUGGGUGAGGGCGAAUGGCAGAGCUGGAGGCAUCCCCUGAAGCGUAACAAUUAAAUGGCUGAGCAAUCAGAAUGCAAAUGCUGCUGCUUUUCUAAAUUCAGCGUGGAAGUUAUUAGGCUUUUGUACAGAUAACCAAACACAGGGGGAGGGAUGGAAGGGUAAAAUUGAAGCAGCACUGGCAGCACAGUGGGGCAAAUGGCAUGGGGUUUCUUCAUUGAGGUGACUGGAUAAGACCAUUUUAAUAGUGCGGCUGAUUUAGUUGCCUUACUUUCAUUUUUAAGUGGGUGAAAGUAAGCCUGGAGCCUUGUGUUCAACCUUUAUGUUUUGUUUGCCCCCUGGCUCUAUAAAGAAAGGGAAUCAAGGGAAUUGCUCUAGUGGUUGGCGACCCUGCACAUAGCAAGGGGGUUGAAACUAGGUGAUCACUGUGGACCUUUUCAACCCAGGCCAUCCUGUGAUUCUGUGAUUCUAUGAUUCUACUAUUCUGUGAUUCUAUGAUUCUAUUAUUCUAUGAUUAAAGCAGAGGGAAAUCUGCCCACUGCUCUGCAUGGGGCCCUCUCAGCCUGGACAGAUCUCCAGGUGCCCAACGUGGGCAGCACCAAGGGAUUCCCUGGUGGGAAGGAGUGGUGAUGGAUGAGCUGCUGAUGAGUUGAUGGUUGGACUAGAUGAUCUUAGUGGUCUUUUCCAACCUUAGUGAUUCUAUGAAUCUCUAAAAGGUAGGAGGCCAGAAGUGCUCCCCUCGACCUUAAGUGGGCAUCUUAUAUAGGGACCAGUGGCAGCACCUGACCCCCAGUGUCUCGUUUCUCUCCAGCAAGGCCACUGAAAAAAUCCCAGGUGGCCAUAUGAAAAUGUGAGCUGCAGGAUAAGUAAAGCCAAUUGUGUCAUCAAGAUGAACGUUUUCAACAUUUGCCUUUUUUUGACACUGGCUUUUUGUUUGUUUGUUUGUUUGUUUGUUUUUUGCUUUUGACUUCUGAAGUUGCAAUCAAGGGUGAAAUAGCCCAUGCGAUGGAUUUGCUUUAGCUUCAGCUGAGAUCUGUGGCUUCUAAGAAAAGACUGCCUUCCACUUAUUUAAAAGAAUUAUAAAACAUGGAGAAGCUCUAAUGCUCUCUUACUAAAUAUGGCUUUAAAUUCAGGAAAGGGCAUGACCACUGCAUGAGAUAAUUUCCACUUGUUAUUCCUGUGGAAAAUAUGCAGAUGUUUGGCUGUGCAGUGAGCUCAGAGAGGGCCGAGGAAGGGGCAGCUGGAGGAGGAGCAUCCAGCAGAGGACACUGAAUGAGACAGGAGCCCCUGGGGAGAAAAUAAAUUGGGUGAUGAUGUUAUUAAAGAUUGCAGGCACGAUGCACGUGGAGAAAGGACAGAUUUAGGGUAACACAGAUAGCAUUAGUCCUGACAUUUCCUAGGUUUUUGCCUCCUUACGUUAGCAGAUUUAAUAAGGUUUUUAAUGUGAAUGUGCAUGUAAAGUAAUGUUUUUUGGCAAUGUCCCUUUAGCCUAGUAAUCCUGUUCAUAACUCGCAAUACCUUAACACACAAUAUUUCUCAAAGGAAACAGCUGUUGUGCAAAGUGAACCUUAAGACACAACUGAGGAGCACAUAGAAUUCAAAGAUGGCUUUUGGUGUCACGGUAAAGGGAGAUAGAUAGAUAGAUAGAUAGAUAGAUAGAUAGAUAGAUAGAUAGAUAACCAGUGCCAACAGAGGAGGGCUUCUUCUUUGGAUCUUAUUUCCUAUUUGCAGUUUUUCUUACAGCUAUGUCUGAUUGUGUUCACAGCAUAUGUGUGUAAGAGAAGCGGAGAGAACUGUUCACUGGAAUUCUCACAAACGUAGGAUAAAAGCAACCUUCCUGGUUUGUCAGUUAAACAUUUUUGUUACUUCUGCAAUCAGCUCUUUUGUUCCUCCUCUGGCUUCAGUUUUCUCCCCCCUUUGCCCUGCCUGCAUGCAGACACACGCAGGUACACAGGACUGUGUCCUCUCUCACAAACAGCUUUCCUGAAAGAUGCUUCUUGUUUGCAAAUAAAGAUAGGAAUUUCAGUUACAAAAGGAAGUAUUGAGCAAGUGAUUCCCAGUACUGAGCUUUCCUCUCUACAUUUCCUCUAAUCACUCGUUUUUUUUUCUAUUGCUCAUGUAGUUCUGAUGAGUUUUCAUGUGCUUGAAAUGUUUCUCCAGAGUAUUUUCCCAGAUUCUGGUGAGUAGAGUUGUUGCGUAGUUAGUCCUUUCUCCUCUCUGCCAUCUUAUUACUUUAUCAGUUAAGAUUUUAUGAGUAGUCCUAUCUUGCUAAAAUUUGCAAAUCCAAUCCCUUUUAAUUUGAAGGGGAAUGAUUUGAUAUUAGUGUCUGUUGGGUUCAGUUAAAAUAAAUCAAAACACACUCUGUGUAGCUGAAAUUGUCUUGAAAGGAGAAAUACAGUUGCACUGUAAAUCUGUGGGGGUGGAGGUGAUGAAUUAUGCUGUGAAGGAAAAUGAAAACCAGAUGGCACUUGCCAAACAUCAACACGGUGCAAUUAUGCACAGUGGAGGCAUAACCACGUAGCACGUACGCAAACCUGUUAUCUACAUCUUCACCAGACUGCUGAGAGGAGCACGGCUCCAGUUCUUCUGAAGAUUAGAGGAAAUUAGGGCUAGAGGGAAUGGCCUCAAGUUGCACCAGGGGAGAUUCACAUUGGAUGUUAAGAAAAAAUUAUUCUCUGAAAGGCUGGUCAGGUGCUGGCAUGGGCUGCCCAGGGAGAUGGUGGAGUCACCGUCCCUGGAGGGACUCAAGACACAUUUAGAUGUUGUACUAAGGGGAAAUAUUGGUGGUAGGUGGAUGGCUGGACUGGAUGAUCUUGGAGGCCUUUUCCAACUCCAGUGAUUCUAUGAUUCUAAGUGCCUGGUGACACUGUAGCAGCAGCUUUGGGCUGAAGGAGGCUAGGGUGGAGGUAAGAAGUGGAUGAGCACUUUGCUGGGAGCUCCCUGGCACUGCUGGCUUUCCCCAUUCAAGAAUCCAGCCUCAGUAUAGGAGGAAUCCAGAACUGACAUACGAGACAAAACUGAUGGGAAAGAUUAAAAUUCUGACUGCACCGCAGUCAGUAAUAAAAUAGUCACAGAGAGCUACAGCAGCAAUAGGACUUCCCCUGUGCAAACACACCACGUUUCUGUUGUUGUUGACAUGACCCCACUCACAGGGACUGCAGCAAUUACAAGCAGGAACAACCCAGAGCUGCAGGGCUAGCACCAGAGCUGGGCUGGUUCUGCUGCCCCACAGUGUUCACAGUUUACAAGCUGGGGAUGGGAACUUUAAGUGAGCAGAAGUUUAUGUGCAGUGAAUUACUGCUUAUGAACUGUUGUGGCUUGAAUUUCCUUUGCAACUUCGAAGUAGAUUUUCCAAUCACCAGAUGAGUCAUCCCCCUAAUCCUCUUUAUUUUGCCAACAGACAAGUGAAAAGACCCAGCUGAUAUAGAGCUUGGCAUAUUGCCAUUUUAUGAUUCAAUUUGCUAUCAUAAUUGUUUGUUGUUCUGCUUUGUUUCUGCAAAAUUGAUGGAUUACAAUAAUUAUUUUGCAUGUUGUAUUUCUCUCUCAGUCCUUGGAUCUGGAAAGGCAUUUGGACCAGGCUUUUUCACAAGUGAACCACAGUGGGGGGAUGCCAUUUUUGUUUAGAGAUAUCUAGGAUAAUCUUUAUUAUCAACAUAUGCUGUUAGCAACAUUAAAGAAGAAAAUCAAUUCCCAAGAAAGACUUUCUGGGCAGUUUCCCAUCAGCUGAAAGGCCAUGGCACUGCAGAGUUGAAACCUAAUCAACUCCACAUGACAGUUCCUGCUGGGUUUGUUCCAGCUAAAAUGUCCUGUGAGACGGUCAUAUGAGUGCUUUGUGACUGAAUGAAGUAAUAUGCAGAAGAUAGUUCCCCUCUGGCAGGAAUUUGCCAUCCCACAGCUGCAAUGUGGUAACCAACAGAAUGCCUAGUGCAAAAGAAGGUACUUCAGAAAGGGAAAGGCCAGCCCAUUGUGUCCAUACACAUUUGUAGAGAUUCUGACAUGAAAAAGUUCUGUGUGUUCACACUGCAAAACUGACCUUUGCUUCAGUUUCAGUUGCAACACAGGAAACACUUCUAUGGUAUGAAUUUCCAGGCCAGCCCUCUCACCUACCACAUGCCUGACAUACCCCAAGGCUCGCUCUGAAGCUCCAAGCAAUGUGAACCCAUGAGGGGGUGUUUUAUUCACACCUGUGUGUGGCACGAGGCCAUCUGCCCAUACAGGAGGGGUCAGAGCUUUCUGGGGUAGGGUUGAGCUUACCCAUGGUGCCUCUUGGGAGCAGUUGCUGGAAAAAAAACCUCUCCCUCAGCAGCAUGCGUGAGCUUUGUCUUGAAAAGCACUUAGUGGAGCAGCCAGCCAGCCAGCAAGCAAACAAAACUUUCAGCAGAAACAAGUUAGGGUCCAGUCCUCAGGCUCACUCCCACCUCACGUGGUUAGCAGUACAGGCAAACCAAGGCUCAUCACCUUAUUAUAGCCAAAACAGUCUCACCAGAUGGGUAGAAAGGGAGUGACACAAAUUACAUCUAGCACUGCACACGCUCAGGCCCUGCCAGGAAGCAGACAUUCCCAUCAGACACUGUUAGUUUAAUCCAGAAAAAAAGGGGGAAAAAAAGACCAAAAAACUUGGCAGGGAAGGAAUCUUCUGUCUCUCAAGUCAAAGUAACUCCUGGGAUGUCUCACAGGGAACACAGCACAUUCCUCACCUCCUGCUCAAGGUCCCGUCCAAAACUAUGGUUUCAUCUUAUGCAAAACAGCCUAAUUUUUUUUGGCAGAAUACUUGAAAAUGAAUACUGCAGCUCAAUCAUGAAAAUCCCUCUCUUUUUAAUAGGAUUUUCUGCCUGGCUAAUAAAUAAAUUGUCUUUCAAAUGAAAGCUGUCCCAACUCUGUUCUCCCACUGGAUCUCAGCCCAGCUAAGAGAGGAGGAAACUGGAGAAGCUCUGCUCUUGCUGACAGUGAUCAAUGAGUGAUACACAACGAAAAUACCAUUAUUUAUUUAUUGACAUCAUUAAUCCUGUUGCAUUGCUGCUUACUCUCUCUUCCAUGGGUUUAAAACAAAUGUUACAACUUGGUUUUCUUUUUUCUUUUUUCUAAGUACAUUUGCAACCUUCUUCUUUGCUGUUGUUGUCAUUGCUUCUUGUUUUCCUGUCCCGGGAGUAGUUCUCCAUCAUCCUCCUGCCUUAUCUGUCUCAAGGUUAGUUCCUGUAGUCUCUUUUCCCAAGGGAUAGGUGAAAGGUCUGAAAAAACGUGCUCAACAGUGAAUGAAGGGAGGAUUGGCUGCAUAUCCGAACAAGGUAAAAUGCUGACUUAACCAGCACCAUUUUCAACAGCCAAAGCGCCUGCUCAGCUACCUUGCUGGUCAUGAUCUCUACAGAUCAUUAUGCUCUGUACAGACACAAGCUCCUCAGAACACGUAUACAGUUUUAUUUAGCUGUGAGACAACCAGUGGCACUUCUGAACACAGACAGUAUUUCACUUCUGGCAGCCUCGUGCGGUGUUAAUAUGAAAACGCAGCGCUGAUUUGGUUUGUUUGUUCUCUGUACAGAGAUUGAUGCUAAAUUUCCCCCUGCAAAUCCAACAAGAUCUUCGUGGUUUAAGAUAAUUGCAUGGCUUAGCAUAGCCGUAAAACUGCAGUUGAUUUUGGCACUCAGAGCCUGCCUUUGAUGUGCCUCAGGUUCAUCUCUUGAAAUUGAGUGCCAGUUCCUUCAAUAACCCAUCAUUUAUUUAUUUAUUUAAACAUAAAAUAAUCAAGAUAGGUUCCGAAGGCUCUAGGGGGCUGCCAUAAUAAAUUAUGCAAAAAUACAACUGAAUUAAAACUCAGCAGUUCACUCAGCCAGCUAUCUACCCCUGCUGACACCUGGCAAGUAUGUUUCUAUCACCUCUGAAAAGCCUCUCACAUAAAUGUCUUUUGCUGUCUGCUUGGAAAGUCAGCAAAUUUUAUGUCUGCAAAUGGAAAAGAAGAACAAUUUCCAGAGCCAUCUCACUGAGCAAUUUGCAGAGCCAUUCCUUUGCAAGCUCUCCUUAUGCUUUUCCAAGUUUCUAGGUCCCAGAGCUUUGUAAGAGAAAAUAUUUCUUGGUGUAUAAGGCCCAGACCACAGAGAAAGUUACUGUGCACACAGAUACUGAGUGUGGGAAGAAAGAACACCCUUCAUCCCGAUUAACGACCGCUGAGAUUAAGUAAAACUGUAAGAUAAAACUACAGAUGUAUUCUGUCUGUUUUCCCAGGCAAAUUACCAUGAACUUCAAGCAGACUCCUAGGCGCUGAACACAGUUCCUGAGACACCAAUAUUGUAUACUCCCAAAUAUUCUGCCUGGAUUUCAGCUUAUUCUCUGCUUGAGACAUGCUACAAGCAUCCAGAUCUGAGCUAACCAUCAUAUGAAUCUCAGUGUCAAUAUCUGUGCCCAAGAGGGAAGGCUGUAUAUGCCUAAAGAGACAGAUCAGGAAAACUGGCGCUAGCAGAGGAAGAAACUAUAAAUAAGGCAGGCUUAAAACACAGUGAAAUUACUGUAACUAGGACUUUCUCUGUAGAAGCUACAGACUCCUCCUUAGUCUCCCUAAAGCCCAGUUCCCUGGGAUCUCCUGAAUAGCACCAAGAAUUUUAUUUCUUUCUCCACUUGCUAGUGUUCUGGCACAACAGCCAAGUGGCACACAGCAGCAUACACAUAUUAUAACAUAGUCUUAUCCAUGAAAGCACACGGCCAGAUUGUCUGCCUGCUGGCACUGCUCUUUGGCCUGUAAUUAAUGCUGUGCUCAUGAAUUGUCUGGGUUAAAGCAUGGUCAGGGUAGAUAUGGGUUAAAACCACGCUGAGUUCUCUUUGCCAUCAGUACAAUUCAGGUAGUUUCACACAGUGCUUUCUGCAAUCAAUGGAGAGCAACAGGCCAUGCCCCACAGAGGAUGCUGCUACCCAACAAAGCUCCUGACAAGGGCCUCAAGCUUUAAGGCUGAAUCUAAGCUUGUUGCCCACUUGCAUCUUUGGUCACCACAGUGCCUGUACCUUGGGAUGGCAAAUAUCAGUUGCAGCACUAGAUGGAAAUAAAGUACCCUUCUGAAACCUGGUUCCUAAACCAUUAAAAUAGAAGGCUAAAAGUAAUGAGACUGAAUGGAGGAUAGACUUUAGCUAGAUCCCAAAGUCCUAUUUUUCUGGAUAUGACCUUUAGAUCUUGCAGUAUUAAGCAGAGCCAAGUACACUUUCCAAAAUAAGGAUUUAUAUGCUUUUUUAAAAUCCUUCUCUGCAGGUUUCAGCCAAGGCCAUGUACCAAAUGGGAAAACUGCAGGGUUCUGCCCUUUGGUGUUUCUGUGAAUAAACAGCUUCACAGACUGUUAAACACCCUGAGCCCAAUACUGCUUAUUUUUUCAAGGUGGAAGCUCACAUGUCUACAUGCUGUAUGUUUCAGUAAAGUUUGGCUUAAGAUGCUUUUCUUCUCAGAGGACAGCAGCUCCAUCUUUCCCACAGGUGAAUGCAAUUUGGAUAAGUUAGUAGGUAAAGCAGACACAGCAGCUGUAGGUCUAAUUAAACGUUUGCCUAACCACCUAAAGAGACAGUGAUAUAUCUUCAUAGCAUCUGGCAGUUUAACCAUUUGUUAGUCAUCCUAUAAUUAGCGUGCUGGUGAAUUUAAUAGAAGACUGUCCUAAUGUAGUGGCAGAUGGUCCUUCUGACAAGGGGAAUGACAAUUCCCGUCCUGUUUGUUUCAAGGGUAGCAGAACAGUCAGAAAGAUCCCUCAUCGAGCACAAUGCUUGUGAAGUAAGAGGAUGUGUUCACUGUCCUCUGAAAGCAAUAGCUUUGAAUGUUGCUGUAUGGAAUAACCAUGAUUCAUGGUACUUCCCCUGAAAAGUACAUUUCUCUCAUGGUAUAAAGACAGCAGCCUUCUUGUGUUUGCAGAAGAGCUUUGAAUAAGUCAGUGUUAGCACCUUCAGGUCCUGUGGGACAGGAGGAGGUGAAGGACAUAAAAGCAGUGCUAAGAGAGGUCUCUUCACCAGAGAGACCUUGAGAGUCAGCCCCUAAAUUUGUGUGUGGAACUUCUGAUUAGUUCAAAUGCUACACGAGCAACAGUUUGCUGUGGCUCCGUUCAUUAGAGAAAUUAACUUUGACUUGGCUACUAGUGAAAUGACAAGACCUCUAAAAUGAAGAAUAUCCAUGGAGGAGAAAAUUAGAGCCCGAGGAGUUGUUGUUGAGAAAUGAAGAUGAUCAUCACGUAGCCACUGGAGAAUUUCAAUAAACUUCAGUAUCAUUCUGGAAUUUAAAAUAGAAUUUAGUAGUGGUAGUCAGACUAUAGAAAUUGUGUUAUCAAAUAAUGUCUUUCAACUAAGAACCUCUGGGAGAAGACACUGUGUAUGACCAAUAAAUCUCAAUGAUUCUUUCAUUUUGAAGCUGGAUGCAACCUGGUAAGCCAAGACUUUUUCACGACAGGUAUCGAUCAAUUUCCAGCUAAGCUCCAACUAACAUUUUGAAUAUUAAAAUCUACUGGCUGGUUUUUAUUCAGUCUGUCCCUGUGCAAUCCCUUUACCUUAAAUAAUAAAAUUCUGAUAGAUCCAUCCAUCCAUACUGUCAAAAAGUCAGUAUAGAAACUCAUUAUAGCAGGCUGUUACCUUAUCAGAAUGAGCAACACAUUUCUUACUAAUAUCCUGAAUCCUGCUUAUAGAGAAAAAACUGCUCUUAGUGUGAGGCUCUUUCAAAAUGCACCCAGACUGAUGGAUAUCUCCAGCUGCAUGAUGGGCUCCUGCAGUGAUCCCGACCAAAAGACCACUGUAUAUAAACAUCAGUGAUCCACAUAACAGUGAACCUGAGCGGGUCUGUGCCAUGCUGUGGGAUAAACUCAGACAGGAGGUGGUAACAGAAGCCUGCAAGCAGCUCCCACUCAGAACUGGCAAUCACACCACCUGCAUGGCCUUGCCUUUAUCUGAAAGUGCCGGGAGUUCUCAUGAGAACAUCUGCUCUGUUGGGCAGAAGAAAUAAAGAAUAGAGCUGUUUACUUGUAAGAAAUUCUAUAAGAGCUCAAAUGAGCAGAAUUGGGAAACUCUUCCUGCGGACAUGUCUGCACAGCAUGCUAUACGUGGAUGGGAGGCCUACUCAACGCUGCACAACUCGGGGCUCCUAGCAUCCAAAGGGACGUAAGAUGAACAAUACUAUUCUCUUUCUUUAUGCUGUUAGCUCUAAUAAGUAGUACUCUAAGUGAUACUUCACUGCCUUGCUCCUAGGACUGUAAAUGGUGUGGUGUAAGGCCCCGCUGUGAAUGCCUUUCUGGAGAAAUGACAGAGUGGGUGAGGGGGUGCUUAGCAGAGCCUGCACACAGCGCUGGGGCCACCAGAAAAUGCUGAGUCAAGGUGGCUUCUGUGGAGGCUUGAGGAAAGAGAAGUGUUGUCUGAGCACCUCACCUGAGCUGAAUUAUGGACUUGUGGUGAGGGGAGGGUGGCCAGUGAACGGAGUGGCGGAGGCACUCAGGCACUGGUGUAAUGGAGGUCUCAGGGGGUGUGGGAGCGAGGAACGUGGAGAGGAGACAGGGAAUAAGUGUGGCUGCAGUGCCUUACCCUCACUCCCAUACCCUCUGCAAGCCAGACUGGGGAGGGGGUGGCCACUCUCCCACAUGGCUCAGCGGGGGCAGGCAGGGGGGAAUGGUGCCUGCGUGCUCCCCUCUGCUUGUGACACACUGGAGCUGGCAAAAUAAUCAAGGAGUUAUGGCUCUGUAGGACACAGGGUCAGGGGUGACCCUAACUCAUGGAAAUCCACUCCACUAUCUGAAGUGAACUGAUUCUUAGCUGCUGAACUGAGUGAACCGAUAAAAGUUAACACAUUUGGGAGUGCAGAAGGAAGCUGGAGGGUGGGGAACGGGGGGAGGGGGCAACGUGGAAGAACUGACUGGAGAAGUCCGUCAGGAAAGCUGAUGUUCAGAUUGGACAUCAGUUCACUGAGAGGGUGAUCAAGCACUGGGACAGGCUCCCCAGAGCAGUGGUCAUGGCACCAAGACAGCUGGUGUUAGAGAAGUGUUUGGACAGCACUUUCAGAUAUGUGGUUUAACAGUUAAAUAGCCCUACACGGAGUCAGAAGUUGGUGUCAACAAUCCUUCUGUGUUGCAGUUUGACCCAGAAGGCAUCUCAGCACCAUACAGCCCUUUGUUCUAUCCCCUUGCCCCUUCCUUUCCUUCCCAGAUAGGAAGGGGAGAGAAUCAGGAAAAAAAAAAAAUCUAAUGGGUGGAGAUAAAGACAAUUGAAUAGGACAGAAAAGGAUGGGGAUAAUAAUUAAGUGGCGCACAAUGGAGUUGCUUGCCACCCGCUGACAGAUGCCCAGCCAGUCUUCAAGAAGCAGUGUACCCUUUGGCCAGCUUAGAUAAGCUGUCCUGGUUCUGCCCUAUGUGGCCCCCCAGCCCCUUUCUGGCAGGGCAGCACCAGAAGCCUAAAUGUCCUUGGCUCUGUAAGCACUGCUCUGCAACAACUAAAGCAGCAGUGUGUUAUCAUUUUCCUCAUAAAUCUUGAAACAGCACCAGACCAGAUACUAGAAAGAAAGUUAACUCCAUCCCAGCCAGCACCAAGACACUGGGUCCUUCCAGCUCAGGACCUUCUUUUAUUCUAUGAUCUGCCCUGAAAGCCUCGUUUGUGAAAUGUGCUCACAGUAUGGAGGAGUAGGGGGCUCCAAAGUUGCCUCAUUACUGCACAGGUCACACUCUGUCAGCCAGAGAUGUCUGAAAUACCCCCUCAGCCUUGCAUUCACUGGAGCUGUGCACUGAAAGUAGGGAAGAGCUUCAGUUUAGGGCCAUUGCCAUCUGUCUUGAGACAGGACACUGUAUGCAUUGCAGCCUCUCCUGCAGCUUCAUCUGAGUGGAGGCAUCAGCCAGCCCUGGGAGAUAUGGGGCAGACCACUCAGCUGGAGCUGCAACCUUUGUUCUCGGAUGCAUGCCUGCCAUUCUGCCUUAAGGGUCAGGUAGAAUGAGUUACUGGGUUAUGUGCACUUUGAACUUCCCUGCUCAGCCAGUGGAAUGGCCUUCUUCAGAGAGAUGCCCUUCCUGCAUGCCCUGUCCUGGCCACAGCACUUCCCAGUGCUGCCUCUAUGUGUGGGGAAUGGCCACCAUUUCUCCUGGCCCUGCCUAUGCCUCUUCAGCCACUCCCUGAUAGCUGCUGGCUAUUGGAGGGCCUAUGUGCUCCCUCCCCUGCAGACAUCCUUGAUCAAGAACCCCACUGUGUACUGUGAUCACAGAAUCAUAGAAUGGCUUGGAUUGGAAGGGAUCUUGAGGAUCAUCAACUUCCAACUCCCCUGCCACAGGCAGGGCUACCAACCUCCAUAUCUGGUACCAGAACAGGUUGCCCAGAGCUCCAUCCUACCUGGUCUGAAACACCUCCAGGGACAGAGCAUCCACAGCCUCUCUGCGCAACCUGUUCCAGCACCUCACCACUCUCUUUGUAAAGAACUUCCCUCUGACAUCCAAUCUAAACCUUCCCUUCUUGAGCUUAAAAGCAUUUUCCCUUGUCCUAUCACCGUCUAACCUUGUAGAAAGUUGACUCCCCUCCUUUUUAUAAUUCCCUUUUAAAUACCAGAAGGCUAUUUUAAAUUUUUAUUUUUAUAAAUUUUUAUUUUAAGUACCAGAAGGAUUAUUGUAUCAAAUUAUUACUGUAGGUGCCUUUUAUACUCAUGCAACAACCCCUCAGUCACAUGAAGGAUCUAGGUGCCUCAUGUGUGUUUAUAUCUGGCGCAAGUAGCUGCUGCCGUAAAAAAAGGCACGGUUCAGAAACAUUCCUAUAAGCAGCUAUACUAAAGUUAACAUACUGAACAAACGAUUGGUUCUUUCCACUAUAGUUAAGUACAAACAAUAGUCCAUUUUAACCAAUCCAAACAAUUCCAAUUCUUAUGGUUCGCUGGUGACGGAGUUGACAAGCAAAGUGUGUCUUGUCCUGUCUUUUGUCAAGAAUCCAAACUGCAGAUGAAAGCUUGGUGAUCAUGUUACAGCAGGUGAUGAGACGGAGGGCUAGACCCAUCAUGCUGGUACACAUCUCAGACCUGUUUUUCCAAUGAGUUCUUAAGCCUAUCCAGAAAUGUCAUAUACGGUUCUUGGGGCUGUUGUUUAAUGCUAACAAAAGACUGCCUUUGUUUUCCAGCCUCUGAUAUAGCUCGGAAAGCAUGCAUUGCCAAAGGCUUAACUUAGAAUCAUAGAAUUACCAAGGUUGGAAAAGACUCACAGGAUCACCCAGUCCAACCAUCCACCCAUCACCAAUAGUUCUCAUUAAACCAUGUCCCCCAACACAGUGUCCAAAUAUUCCUUGAACAACUCCAGGCUCGGUGACUCCACCACCUCCCAGGGCAGCCCAUUCCAGUGCCUGACCACUCUUACAGAGAAGUAGUAUUUCCUAACAUCCAACCUGAACCUUCCGUGGCGCAGCUUGAAGCCAUUCCCUCUAGUCCUAUCACUAGUUACACAAGAGAAGAGGCUGACCCCCAGCUCACUACAACCUCCCUUCAGAGAGGGCAAAAAGGUCUCCCCUGAGCCUCCUCUUCUCUGUACUGAACAAUCCCAGCUCCUUCAGCCGCUCCUCAUAAGGCCUGUGCUCCAGACCCCUCCCCCAGGUUCAUCUCUAGCAGGCCUGUUUUUAUCCCCUUCCCCCCUCAUGUCUAGUUUAAAGACCUCUCUACAAGUCCUGCCAGCUCCUGGGCAAGGAUCCGUUUCCCCCUUUGAGACAGGUGAUACCCAUCUGCAGACCUCAGGCCAGGUGCCGAGUAGACCGCCCCAUGAUCAAGGAACCCAAGAUUCUUGAGUUUACACCAGCCUCUCAGCCAUGUGUUUAUACAAUGGGUUUUCCUGGUCAUUGCAUUGUCUUUCUCUGCCACUGUAGGAAUACCUGCAAAUACUACUUGUAUGCCUGCAUUGUCAACUAUACUCCCCAGUCCUCUAAAAUCAUUUUUUAUAGCCCUCAGGCUUCUGUCAGCAACUUCAUCACUGCCAGCCUGAACUACCAAUAAUGGAUAGUAAUCAGAGGGGUGGAUCAGACCAGGAAGUUUUCUAGAAAUAUCCCUGACCCGGGCCCCAGGGAGGCAGCACACCUUCCUACAGGUAGGGUCAGGCCAACAUAUUGGACCCUCUGUUCCUCUCAGGAGGGAGUCACCUACAACUAUCACGCUCCUUUCUUUUUUGGAGGAGGCAGUCUUUGAGCAUGGAGCUGACCUCCUCACCUUAGUCACACUUGGAGGCAGUCUUCCCCCCUUAUCCUCACUCACCUCUCCCUCCGGUUUCAGGGCAUCAAACCUAUUAUGUAGAGACACCUGGGGAACCGAGGUAGGUUGGGGUGGGGGUCACCUGCGUCUCCGAGCUGGUACCUGCUGCCAUUCCUCCUCUCCUCUUGAAUCGGCUCUCUGUGCUUGACUGCAGCAAGGGAGAGGGUCCACUAUGGUUUGGGGGGGUGCAAUCUCUGCAUCUUUCUCUCAGAGAGUCACUCCACCAGUCAAUCUCCCGCUCGCACUCUCUGAUAGUUCUUAAUCUCUCCACCUCCUCCCUGAGCUCUACCACCAGGCUGAGCAGCUCAUCUACCUGCUUGCACCUCACACAGGUGGCAUCCUUCCGAUCCUCCCCUGGCAGCAGCAGGCUCAGACACUCCCUGUAGCCAGAGACCUGCACAGCCACAUUUCUGGGCAGGCCCUCUGUCUGGGUCACCAGUCUUCUUGGGGCAAGUCCGCUGUCUGGUAGAGACCACGUUUGAACCUGGGGGUCUCAGGGUCUGCCAGUAGGAGAGCUGGUCUCCUGAGCAAAGACAAAAGCACUCAUGUGUCCUGCCUCAAGACCCACCACCCACACCUGCUGCUGCAGUAUUGUAUGGGCAGUGUAGGCUGUGCUCACACUCUGACUUCCCUCCCUGUUGUCAGUAGAUAGUAACACCCUUUUCUCACCUGGCACAUUAUGUGGGCUGCUUUUAGCCUCACAGCAAAGGGUCAAGCUCAAGAGUGGGCAGUGCCAGCUCGAUCCCUGCUGGCUCAACAGCCUGCCCACAAGCUGCCAGCCCCCUGGCACCAGCACAGUGCUUUUGCUGGCUUCAAAAAAGCCCUAAAAAGAGCUUUUUGGUUGGCCUUUUUGCUUUAGGUCCCUUACCCAGUGCAGUCUUACCUGCCCUGAAGCUGGUCUAAACAGCAAUCAGCUCUGCAGCAAUGUAGCUCUUCUCUAGCAGACAGGUGCCCAGAACUGGAGCAUUAACUCUUUAACUCACAGUGCACUACAUGAUGUUAUGAUGUGGAAUACCAAUAAACAAGAAUCAUAAAACCAUGACGCCCCUCCCAGUAACAGUCUGGAGAAAGGGGCGAGCUGAGGAAUGCAGCUUUCUCCCAUUCAUACUCGCGCCACAAGAGAGAAGGGUGGGGGAAGGGGAACCCGCGCAGGCUCAGAUUGCACACAUGCUCCCAGAAGCAUCACUGAGACAAAAAACAUAGCGCUAGCCCGUCCUCCCCCACUCCAGGCAGUCACAUGCUCAUGUAUUGGUUCAGGCUGUGACCUUGAAAUUCCACUACACUCCACCCCUUCACAGUAUGAACCAAUGACUGAGCAGGUAGGGGGUGAGCUCCUGCAGUUUCGUGGCUGGAAAUUGGAAAAUACAAUGCACAUUGUGACACAUGUACAAUACCCACCGCAGUGUAGAAUGUUAAGACAAUAAAGGCAAUUAUUGGCAGUCUUUUCUGCGGUUCUGUUGGGCCAGCACUUGAUGUUCUUUCUUGAGGCAUACCUUCUUCAAGGACCAGUAGCAGUUCUGAUACAUGCUCGCCAGUUCCCAAAAGUUCAGCUGUGCACCACAGGGUGUCAUGAUGUUUCCUCAUGGACACCGAAGCAACCUGGAGUGAUGUUGCUCCUGCCGGCUGUCCUGUGAACUUAUAACCUCAAGGGGAGUAAAACAGAUGUUUAAUAGGUACAAGGAGGGGUAGUUCUGCCCUCCAUGGUAAGAUACAGGCUGUAUUUUGGUCUUGAGUCAACACCUCUGACUUGUGGAGUCAAACUCUAUAACCCAGAGUUAGGUUAUAAAGCAGGUAUGCAUUUAUUCAGCGAUGCGCGAGUGCUGGGUGCAAGGGGGAUCACUCCUCCUGACUUGCACACUGUAGGACAAAAGCUUGGUACAGAUAUAGGCAGAACUAAUACAUAAUCAAUGAUUUACCCAGAAUUCGUAUACAUAUUCAUUACAUUUCCAAGAGUCCAUUAGCAUACGGGGUCUGCCAGUAGGAGAGCUGGUCUCCUAAGUGAAGACAAAAGGAACAAAAGAAACACUCGUGUCCUGCCACAAGACACACCUCCCACACCUGCUGCUGCAGUAUGGGCAGUGUGGGCUGUGCUCACACACUGACUCCCUUCCUGUUAACAGUGGAAGGUAACACUCUUUUCUCACCUAGUGUGUUAAGCUAGCUUCCACCCUCCCGAAGAUGCUUCUAAUUGCACAGCAAAAGGUCAAGGUCGAGCUCGUGAGAUAAGAGUGGGCAGUGCCCGCUCUGCCCCUGCUGGCUCAGCAGCCCGCCCACAAGUUGCCAGGCCCCCAGCACCGGUAUAGUGCUUUUGCUAGCUUCAAAAAACCCCUAAAAAGAGCUUUUUGGUCAGCCUUUUUGCUUUAGGUCCCUUGUCCAGUGCAGUCUUACCUGCCUUGAAGCUGGUCUCCACAGCAAUGACCCAUUCUUCUAGCAGCCUCUGCAUAUCUGCUUCUGUAAACUAUCUCUAAUUCUCUUUCACCCUUAGUUUCUGCAGACCCAUUCUUACUGAACCCUUUCUUCACCUCUGCCUGUAUUGGGGCACAUCCUGGUCUUCGAUACCACACCCUUUGGCCUGAUAUCUGUGGCUGAAUCACUAUAUCAGGUACCAAAGGCGGGUUUCUAAUUUGCCACGUGGACAUGAUUAAUGUCUCCUUUUCAAUGAAAACAGGGAUGUCAACUACUACCUCUGCUGGCCAUGAACCGAUUAUUGGAGGGUUUACUGAUCCCCCAACCUCUAACAAUCUUCCUCAAGCUGCAAGGAGACCACAUAAUUUUGGUCCUGCUUGCACCUUCCAAGGCCAUUUUACCUUGUGCUUCCCAGGCUCUAAGUCCACAGGGGCAGUGAGCAGAAGAUUAUUCAUGGUGCCAACUUGUGGCUUGAGCGAGGUGUCCUUGCCUGUAAUUUGUAUCCUAAGCAGGGAAGCCCAAGUUGUCUGCAACAUUCUUAAAGCACUGGGUCUGCCAUCUCUUAGUCUCUAAUUCAAGUCUCGCAGGGUUUCAUAAAGUCUCUUGGUCCACCCCUGCAAAGACUGUGAAUCUGCCUUCAGAGCAGCCUUCAGGAUCCCGUUCUAUCUUUCUAUUAGGCCUUCUCCGAUUGGAUUACAGGGCAGGUGAAACCGCCAUUCAGUGUUGUUGCCUUCAUAGAAUCAUAGAAUCAUAAGGUUGGAAACGACCUGCAAGAUCAUCUAGUCCAACCGCCUUCCCGUUCCCAUUGGUACCACAAGCUACUAAACCAUAUCUCAUAGCUACUCAUCCAGAUACCUCUUGAACACUGCCAGGGACAGCGACUCCAGCACCUCCCUGGGCAGCCAUUCCUGUGCCUGACCAACCUCUGAGAGAAAAAGUUUCUCCUAAUGUCUAACCUAAACCUCCUCUGGUACAACUUCUGGCCACUUCCUUGGGUCCUGUUAUUUGCCUGGGAGAAGAGGCCAAACCCUUCCUCAUCACAGCCUCCCUUCAGGAAGUUGUAACAUGCAAUGAGGUCUCCCGUGACCCUCCUCUUCUCCAAACUAAACAAUCGCAGCUCCCUCAGCCACUCCUCAUAAGACUUGUACUCCAGACCCUUCACCAGUUUUGAUGCCCUUCUCUGGACACAUUCUAGGGCCUCAAUGUCUUUCUUGUACUGAGGGGCUGUAGAACAAACAAAGGCAAUGACAGAGCCUUUAUUUGAGAAAUAGGCACACGAGGAAAAGAUAUCAAAAGGAAUUGACUCACCCCUCCUGGUAACAGCGUGCAGAGAGAGACGAGCUGAGGAAUGUGUCGCUCCCCCAUUUGUACCGUCGCGCCGCCGGAGAGAAGGGCGGGGGCAAAGAGAGGGACCCGCGCAGACUCAGACUGCACAGGAAGUAUUGCAGAGACAGAAGGGGUGGCUCCAGACCACCACCCCCCAUUCCAGCCACUCACACACUCACAUAGCCCACCCAUUGGUUCAGGAUGUGACCCUGGAAUUCCACUACAGGGGCCCAAAACCAACCACUAGUGCCGAGUACAGGGGGACGAUUACCCCCCUGCUCCUGCUGGUCACACUAUUUCUAAUACAGGCCAGGAUGCCAUUGGUCCUCUUGGCCACUUGGGCACACUGUCGGCUCAUGUUCAGCCGAGCAUCAACCAACACCCCCAAGUCCCUUUCCUCUUCACAGUCAUCCAACCACUCAUCCCCAAGCCUAUAGUGCUGCAAGGGGUUAUUGUGGCCAGAGUGCAGGACCCGACACUUGGCCUUGUUAAACCUCAUCCCAUUCACCUCAGCCCAGUGAUCCAGCUUAUCUAGAUCCCUCUGCAGGGCCUCCCUACCCUCAGGCAGAUUGACACUACUUCCCAACUUGGUGUCAUCUGCAAACUUACUCAGGGUAUGCUCAAUCCCUUCAUCUAGGUCAUCAACAAAGAUAUUAAACAGGAUGGGCCCCAGCACCAACCCCUGGGGGACACCACUUGUAAUGAGUCGCCAGCUGGACUUACUUCCAUUGACCACCACCCGUUGGGCACGGCCCUCCAGCCAGUUCCUUACCAACGGAGGGUAAAACUGUCCAGGCCAUGGGCAGCCAGUUUCCCCAGAAGAAUACUGUGAGAGACCGUGUCAAAGGCUUUGCUGAAGUCUAGGUAGACUACCUCAACAGCCUUUCCUUCAUCUACCAGUCUGGUCACCCAGUCAUAGAAGGAGAUGAGGUUGGUCAAGCACGACCUGCCUUUCAUGAACCUGUGCUGUCUGGGCCUGAUCCCCUGGACGCCACGCACGAGCCAUGUGAUCUCUCCCAGGAUGAUUUGUUCCAUGACCUUCCCUGGCACUGAGGUCAGGCUGACAAGCCUGUAGUUCCCUGGAUCCUCCUUACGUCCCUUCUUGUAGAUGGGAGUCACAUCAGCCAGCCUCCAAUCCUCUGGAACCUCUCCAGCUAUCCAGGAGCGCUGGUAGACAGCCAAGAGCAGCUCAGCAAUCACCCCUGCCAGCUCCCUCAGCACCCUAGAAUGAAGCCCAUCCGGUCCCGUGGGCUUAUGACAGUCCGGAUGGAGGAGGAGCUCCCUAACUGUCUCCACCUGAAUCUCCGGGGGGAUAUUCCGCAUAUCAGCCCAGACUUCCAGAUCAGGGCGCAAAGUACCCUGAGGAUAACUGGUCUGACUAUUAAAGGCAGAUGUAAAGAAGGCAUUGAGGACCUCAGCUUUCUCCUUGCCUUCCGUGGUCACAUUCCCCUCUGCAUCAAUUAAAGGAUAGAAAUUAUCCUUGGUUCUUCUCUUGCCAUUGAUAUAUUUGUGAAAGGAUUUCUUAUUCUCCUUUACUGCAGUGGACAAUCUGAGUUCAAGUUGGGCUUUUGCCUUCUGGACUUCCUCCCUGCAUACCUUAGCAACUUCCUUGUUAUCUCCCCUAGUAGCCUGUCCCUUCUUCCAGAGGACAUAGACACUCUUUUGCUUCCUGAGUCUCAACAGUAGUUUCCGGCUCAUCCACACUGGUCUUCUUCCCCUACGGCUCACCUUACAGUAUUCAGGGACAGCCUGUUUUUGCACCUUUAAGAUUUCCAUCUUGAGGAGCAUCCAGGCUUCCUGAACUGUAUGGCAAACAGGUAUACAGAUUGUAAGGUAAAUAUGUAUAGGACCAGAGAGAUCAUUGCGUUUACAAAGGAAUAAUGAAGUAAGGAGCUUACCCAUGUCCUGGGCUCACAGAAGGGCUCCAAGAAGGGUGAUCUCCAGAUAGAGAUCCUUCCUCCUUGGGAGUCAACCCUUAAAUGGGGUCUAGGAGGGGUGGAGCCUAGCUCCAUCCCUUCUGGUCACUCAGGUGAAAUUGCGUUCACCUGUGCCCCUGCAGCUGACUCAGCGCUCACCUCAGGUGGUCAAUCAGAGGUUCAGGCUGUGAUUCAACAGUUCCCAUACACUGGACCCCUUUGCCCUUAAGUAACAAAUCACAAAGGACCCGUGCUACAAGCAUCCUGAACAGGUCAAAGUCUGCCCUCUGGAAGUUCAAGAUGGCAGUUUUGCUAGUCACCCUUCUGACAUGUCCAGGAAUAGAGAAUUCUGCAGUUUCAUGGUCGCUCUACCCUAGACAGUCCCCAACCUUCACAUGACCUACCAGUCCUUCUCUGUUAGCGAAGAACAGGUCUAGCAGGGCACACCCCCUGGUAGGCUCUCGUACCAGCUGCGUAAGGAAGAUAUAUUCCACACACUCUAGAAACCUCUUGGACUGCUUCCUUUGAGCUAUAUUAUAUUUCCAACAUAUAUCAGGGAAGUUGAAAUCCCCCAUGAGAAUGAGUGCUGGCGAUCGCACGACUUCCGCAAGCUGCUCAUAGAACUCCUCGCCCAUCUCCUCAUCCUGAUUCAGCGGUCUAUAACAGACCCCCACCAAGAUGUCUCCCUUACAGGCCUUCCCCCUGAUCCUCACCCACAGACACUCCACUUUAUCAUUUGCAACCCCAAGCUCUUCAACAUCAAAACAGUCUUUAAUAUAAAGGGCCACACCACCACCCUUCCCUCCUCGUCUAUCCCUUCUGAAGAGCUUGUAGCCAUCUAUCACAACACUCCAGUCAUGGGAGCAGUCCCACCAUAUUUCAGUAAUAGCAGCUAGGUCAUAGUUAGCCUGAUGCACAAUCGCUUCCAGCUCCUCCUGCUCGUUGCUCAUGCUGCACUGGUGUAGAUGCACUUCAGCAGAGUCAUUUGCCUCACUCCCAUGUCAAGCGACAUUCUCCUACGCUCUUCUCUUUUGAGACCUGUUCCGUCCCCUUCCCUCAACAUAGUUUAAAGCUCUUUUGAUGAGCCCUGCUAGCUCCUGCACUAGGAUUCAUUGCCCCCUUUGAGAUAGGUGGGUUCCACGGACAAACAGCAGGCCAGGGUCUGAGUAAACUACCCCAUGAUCAAAGAACCCAAAGUUUCUGGCUCAACACCAGCCUCUGAGCCAGUUAUUAAUUGCUUGCACUUUCCAUGACCACUCCGAGCCCCACACUGCCCCUGACGGUACAGAACAAAAUAUCACUUGCGCUCCCGCACCUUGAACUAAGUGCCCUAAACCCCUGAAAUCCCUUUUCAUCAUUCGUAGGCUUGUCUGAGCAAUUUCAUCACUGCCCACCUGAACUACGAGCAACAGAAAGUAAUCAGUAGACCUCACCAGCUUUGGGAUUUUCCUGGUUAUGUCCCUGACCCGGGCCCCAGGAAGGCAGCACACUUCUCAGCAGCUCGGGUCUGGUGUGCAUAUGGGGCCCUCCGUUCCUCUGAGAAGGGAGUCACCCACCACGACCACCCUUCUUUCUUUCCUGACAGAGGAAGUCUGGAGGCGUGGGGGUGACUGCCUCGCUUUAGGCUUCCUCCUUGGCAGAUCCUCCAUCACCUCACCACUCACCUCACCUUCAAUUUCCAGCGUGUGAAACCUGUUGCUAAGGGGGAGAUGGGGAAGUGGGGUAGGCAGGCAGGGGGGGUUCCCGUGAUACUGAGUAGGGACUCUCAUCCAACCCUCCUCAUCAGUCAGGUCUGUCCUACUCUGACAAAACUGGGGGUCCACCACUUUUGUGAGGGUGCCUCCCUGGCACCCUUUCCUCUGACACGCCAGCGAGUCACUCCACCAGUCUAUCUCCCACUCACAUUCCCUGAUGGUCCUAAGUCUCUGCACCUCUUCCUUGAGCUCAACCACCAGCUGGAUCAGCUCAUCCACCUGCUCACACCUCACAUAGGUGGAAUCCCUGCCACCCUCCCCAGGUAGCAGCAGUCUCAAGCAGUCCCUACAGCCAGAGACCCGAACAGCCAACAUUUUUGGGUAGGCCCUCCAUCUGGGUCGCCACAGUCAUCUUGGAAUAAACUCACUGUCUGGUGGAAACCAUGUUAGGCUACAAUCUCAGAGACUGCCAAGUGGGAAGCUAGAAGCCUGAACAAAGAGGGAAAAACAAACAAACAAACAAAAAAAACCUUGCAGUUCUAACCAUUUGACCCACCUCCCGCACCCACAUCUGCAGAACACCGUGGGCAGCAAGUACUUAGUCACUGAGCCUCCCUGUUCUCAGUAGGCAGAAACAAUGGUUACUCACCUGUUUUGCUGUGUGGGUGGAAGCCAGCUUCUGCCUUCCCUGCCGCUACUUAUAGAUAUUAGAAAGUGUGAACUGCUUGUUAGCAGGUGCGAACGUUAAGGGCAGGGGUUUAAACUGAGCGGCAAACAUGUCGGCUCCACCCUCACCGAGUCAAGAGCCUACCCACAAGCUGCUAGUUCUCCAAUAGGAGCAUAGUAUCACAGAAUCAUAGAAUAGCCUGGGUUGAAAGGGACCUCAAGGAUCAUGAAUCUCCAACCCACCUGCCAGGCAGGGCCAUCAACCUCCCCAUUUACUAGACCAGGUUUCCAAGGGCCCCAUCCAACCUGGCCUUGAACACCUCCAGGGAUGGGGCAUCCACAACCUCUCUGGGCAGCCCGUUCCAGCACCUCACCACUCUCCUUGUAAAGAACUUCCCCCUAACAUCCAACCUAAAUCUUCCCUCUUUCAACUUAAAAGCGUUCCCCCUUGUCCUGCUGUUAUCUACCCUUUCAAAGAGUUGAUUCCCUUUCUGUUUAUAGGCUCCCUUCAGGUACUGAAAGGCUGCAAUGAGGUCACCCCUCAGCCUUCUCUUCUCCAGGCUGAAUAAGCCCAGCUCCCUCAGCCUGUCUUUGUAGGGGAGGUGCUCCAGCCCCCUGAUUGUCUUCGUGUCCCUCCUCUGGACCCUCCUCAACAGCCCUCUGUCUUUCUUGUACUGGGGGCUCCAUACCUGGACACAGUACUCCAGAUGGGGCCUCACAAGAGAGAGGCCCUGUCCCUGCUGGCCACCCCUCUCAUGAUGGAGCCCAGGAUACCAUUUGCUUUCCGAGCUGCAAGAGCACACUGCUGGCUCAUGUUAAGUUUGUCAUCCAUCAGGACCCCCAGGUCCUUCUCUACAGAGCUGCUCUCAAGGACUGCUCCUUCCAGUCUGUAUAGAUGCCUGGGGUUCCUCCAGUCCAAGUGCAAAACCUUGCACUUCGCCGUGUUGAACCUCAUUAGGUUCACCCGGGUCCACCUUUCAAGUCUGUCAAGGUCCCUCUGAAUGGCAUCCCUUCCUUCCUCUGUGUCAACCGCUUGCUGUUAUCAGCAAACUUGCUGAGGGUGCACUUGAUUCCGUUGUCAAUGUCAUUGAUAAAGAUGCUAAAGAGCACCGGUCCCAAGACAGACCCCUGGGAGACUCUGCUCAUUAUCAGCCUCCACCUGGACAUAGAAUCAUUGAUCACCACCCUCUGUCUGCAGCCUUUCAACCAAUUUCUUAUCCAACGAGUGGUCCACCCAUCAAAUCCACAUCCCUCCAAUUUGGAGAUAAGGAUGUGGUGGGGGACCAUGUCAAAGGCCUUGGUCAAGUCCAGGUAAAUGACAUCGGUCACCUUCCCCUCAUCCACCAAUGCUGUCACUCCAUCAUAGAAGGCCACUAGAUUGGAUAAGCAUGACCUCCCCCUGGUGAAGCUGUGUUGGAUGUCUCGGAUCACAUGCUCAUUCCUCAUGUGAUCAAGCAUGUCGUCCAGGAGGAUCUGUUCCAUGAUCUUCCCAGGCACAGAGGUGAGACUCACUGGCCUGUAGUUCCCUGGGUCCUCCUUGCUCAGUUUCUUGUAAAUGGGAGUGACAUAACCCUUCCUCCAGUCGUCUGGGACCUCACCUGAUAGCCACAACUUCUCAAAUAUGAUGGAGAGCGGUUCGGCAACCACCUCAGCCAGCUCCUUCAGAACCCUGGGAUGUACACCAUCUGGCCCCAAAGACUUGUACUCAUCCAGUCUCAUGAGGUGGUCUCGGACUUGCUCUGCCCUUACAGUGGGGGGGGGAUUUACCCCCCUGGUCCCCACCUGGAGGCCUGGGGAUGCAGGGCUCAGGGACAUGAGAAAGACUAGAAUCCUGGACACCAGUGAAGACUGAGGCAAAGAACUCAUUCAGUACCUCAGCUUUCUCUUCAUCCGUUGAAGCCAGUUCUCCUUUUAAAUUUACUAAAGAAGGUAUACCCAUUUCGGCCUGUCUCUUCUGGCCAAUGUACCUGUAGAAUGCCUUCAUAUUGUUUUUCACAUCCCUCGCCAAGUUCAGUUCUACCUGUGCCUUGGCUUUCCUGAUCCUACGUCUGCAAGUCCGGACAGCAUCCCUGUACUCUUCCCAGGUGACACGCCCUUGUUUCCAGAGCUUGUACGCACCUUUCUUCGCCCUCAGUGUGCCCAGCAGGUCUUUGCUGAGCCAUGCCACUUUCCUAUCUUGUCUGCUUUCUUAUUCAGAGGGAUGGAGACCUCUUGUGCUUUCAGGAGGGCAUCCUUGAAGAGUAGUCAGCUCUCCUCAACAUCUUUAUCUUUAAGGACAGCAUCCCAGGGGAUCUUGGCCAACAAUCCAUUGAACAGCUCAAAGUUUGCUCUUCCAAAGUUCAGGGUCCUGACCCCACUCUUUGCCAGGCCCACAUCCCUCGAGAUCACGAACUCAACCAGUGCAUGGUCGCUGCAGCCCAGACUGCCUCCAAUGUUGACGCCUUUGAUGAUCUCUUCCACAUUGGUGAGCAGCAGGUCCAGCAACACUUCACCUCUGGUUGGUCUGUCUAAUACGUGGACCAGAAAGUAAUCAUCAAUGGAUUCCACGAGCCUUUUGGACCUCUUGCAGCUCACCAUGUGGUCUUUCCAACAGAUGGUUGAAGUCCCCCACCAGGACGAGAGCCCGUGAGCACGAUGCCUCCCGCAUCUGGAGCAAGAAAGCCUCAUCAACAGCCUCCCCUUUUUCAGGUGGCCUGUAGUAUACCCCUAUCACCAGCUGACCUUUAUUAGUCCCAUCCCUAAUUCUAACCCACAGGCUCUCAACCUGUUCCUGACUGUUUCUCAUAGGGAGCUCCUCACAGUCUAUCCACUCUCUGACAUAGAGGGCAAUGCCCCCACCCUUCCUAUCUCACCUAUCCCUUCUAAAGAGCCGAUACCCAUCAAUGGUAGUAUUCCAGUUGUGGGAGUCAUCCCACCAUGUUUCUGUGAUAGCAAUAAGGUCAUAACUUUCCAAGUGCAUCACAGUUUCCAACUUGUCCUGUUUAUUACUCAGGCUGUGUGCACCGGUAUAAAGGCACUUCAGCUGGGCUUUCCGUCUCACCGCCUUUAUAGAGGAUCUAGGAUCCCCUAGAACAGUAGCAUCCCCAGCAUCCCCCUGCCCUACUCCAUCCCUUUGUACUCCACCAUCUUUGCCUAUGGAGUUUGGUACGAGCCCUCAAAUGACCCGCUCAACCCCAGUGGCCCUCAUUUUGUCCCCUUCUCCCUUCAUACCUAGUUUAAAGAGUCAAUGACUCUUUAAUGAGUCCUGCCAGUUCCUCAGCUAAGAUCCUCUUACCCCUCAGAGACAGGCUACUUCCAUCUGCAGCCAUCAUGCCAGGUGCUGAAUAAAUUGUCCCAUGGUCAAAAAAAAAAAAACAAAACACAAAAAUUCCUGUGUUUGCACCAACUUCUGAGCCAUUUAUUUAUGAGGUAGGUUUUUUUGGAUUCUCUUAGUACCCUUUCCUGCUACUGAAGGUAUAGGAGAGAAAACCACCUGCACGCCAGCUCCAUCAACUACCUGCCCCAGUCCCCUGAAGUCUUUCUUGAUAGACCUCAGGCUUUUCUCAGCAAUUUCAUCACUGCCAGCCUGAAUUAUCAGUAAGGGGUAAUAAUCAGAAAGGCGAAUCAGUCCAGGAAGUUUCCUUGAAAUGUCCCUGACCCAUGCCCCAGGGAGGCAGCACACCUCCCUACGGGUAGGGUCAGGCUGACAUAUAGGGCCUUCUGUUCCUCGCAGGAGGGAGUCACCUAUGACAAACACCCUUCUGUCCUUCCGGGUGGAGGCAGUUGUGAAGCGUGGAGUCGACCACCUCACCCGAAGCAGCGUCACAGGUGGACCUCCCUCCACAGUCUCACUCACCCCUCCCCCAAGUUCCAGGGCCUCAAACCUAUUGCGCAGAGGCACCUGGGGAGCUGAGGAUGGUCAGGAUGGGGAAUGCCCACCUCGCCGAACCGGUAUCUGUUUCCACUCCUCCUCCUCUCUCAAAUUGCUGCUAGGGGGAGGAGAGGACAGGGAGCUCACUGCAGCACCGUCUGCCAGCCGGUUCCCCUCUACCACCUGUUUGCAAGGCGGCAGGAGUUGACAUGCUCCAUGCAGAGCCUCAGCCGUGUGCCAAGAUCUCGGGGCUGAUAGGGACUGGCACCACCAGUCAAUCUCCCUCUCACAGUCCUUUAUGGUCCUCAGCCUCUCUAUCUCCUCCUUCAGGUCAAUCACAAGGCUGAGUAAGUUGUUCAGUUGGUCACAUCUUAUACAAGUGUGGCCAACACUGUCUGGCACUGCAAAGGCCAGGCUCCAGCAGUCAACACAGCCAGUGACCUGUGUACUAGCAUCUCGUGAUGGCUUUUUCUAGGCAGGGGGACGUGGAUAUAGAGUUGUUGCUGUGGCAAUGCCAUGCCACGUCAGCCAUGCUCGCGAGAGCUGCCUGGCCAAGAGCUGCAGCCACUCUGUUGUUGCGGGGAUCCCUCAAUGAGGGAAGCAAUCGGAACCCCCCUGUACCUCGCUAAUAGUUGCAGUGGUUCUGCCUGAGACAGUUCUGAGCAGCGAACCUCCAAGACAGACCUGAUUAGGCUGUCCAUCAAUCUUUUGAAAUUGAACUCCUGCCCUAAUCAGGUCAUUGAACAUUUGCUUUUUUGAGAAUCUGGUGGGUCCAGACUGAAUUACAUUAGGGGCAGGUCUCCCAGGCCGUGGUGAUGGAUGGAUGUCUGACUUUUCCACCACCAUUCCGACAUUGUGCCUGGCCCGUAGGCGCUCUGUCUCCCUUUGAUCUGCCACCAAUUGGGUGGUCUGUUGUAUAAUGGCCUCUGAGGCCACUAGGGGAUUCAGUAUGACCAAAGUACCAUACUGAUGUGGUGGAGCUUGCUGCAGGAUGAGGUCCCUCAUUCCUGCUGAAAAUUUCAUCAUGUCUGGGCUCUCAAAAUCCUCCUCAUAAAUUGCCUCCUUCAUGCCUAAUUCUCGAAUGUAGUUAUGUAAGUCCUCCAUAGAGGACCAUAGGCCGGUAUUUAAUGGUAUGUCACAUUUAUUUGUCCAUGUUGCACAGCAUGCGGCCAUUAACCAUGUAAUCAAUGAAUGAUUUUCUUCAUUAUGUUGGACAGCUGCAUAUAGUCUCUGCCUCAGGGCAGGGUGAGUAGUAAUGGAUGCCAGUCUUGAAAUUUCUAGUCCAUUCACCACAGUGCUUUCUGCCCCCGUGUCAUAUAAUCAGAGCAACCACGCUGGCACAUUCUCUCUCAGUUUCUGUCUAAACUGUUGCACUAAAUCCAUUAAUUCAGCUGCUGUGUAUGGGCAAGCUGCUACAUGUAGCGUGCUCUGGGCAAGGGGCCACUGGUCAGGAGGCAGCCCCGCUGGCCUAUCCUGCGUUUUUUUUGUUUGUUUUUUUGAAUUACAACUGGUCAGAUCUCUAAGGGAUCUAGUUCUAGUGGACCCUCAAGAUCCAACUUUUUAGUGCUUUCAUUUACAGAGUCCAGUUCAUGUGGAUUCUCUUGCACAGGGUCCCCAGUAAUUUCUAGAGAGAUAUUCUGGAUUUUUGGUACAGGAAUGAUAGGAUUAGGUUUUUGCUCGUACCAUCACGCCGCUGGAGAGAAGGGCGGGGGCAAAAGAGACACCCGCACAGACUCAGAUUGCUCAGGAAGUAUCGCGGAGACAGAAGGGGUGGCUCCAGACCACCCCCCCUGCUCCAGGCCCCCUCACACUCACAUAGACCACCUAUUAGUUCAGACUGUGACCUUGGAAUUCCACUACAGAGGUUUAGGUUUGAUUUUUUCCCCAUCAGUAUUCCAAGUUGUUGUUCUAAUUUUUCAAUCCAAUCUCAUACUAGUUGAUAUUAAUUUUCUAAAGUAUUAGUUGUCA